CGGUUGAUCCUGCCGGACCUGACUGCUAUCGGAUUGAUACUAAGCCAUGCGAGUCAUUGUAGCAAUACAAGGCAGACGGCUCAGUAACGCGUAGUCAACCUAACCUAUGGACGGGAAUAACCUCGGGAAACUGAGAAUAAUGCCCGAUAGAACACUAUACCUGGAAUGGUUUGUGUUCCAAAUGAUUUAUCGCCGUAGGAUGGGACUGCGGCCUAUCAGUUUGUUGGUGAGGUAAUGGCCCACCAAGACUAUUACAGGUACGGGCUCUGAGAGGAGUAGCCCGGAGAUGGGUACUGAGACACGGACCCAGGCCCUAUGGGGCGCAGCAGGCGAGAAAACUUUGCAAUGUGCGAAAGCACGACAAGGUUAAUCCGAGUGAUUUGUGCUAAACGAAUCUUUUGUUAGUCCUAGAAACACUAACGAAUAAGGGGUGGGCAAGUUCUGGUGUCAGCCGCCGCGGUAAAACCAGCACCUCAAGUGGUCAGGAUGAUUAUUGGGCCUAAAGCAUCCGUAGCCGGCUCUGUAAGUUUUCGGUUAAAUCUGUACGCUCAACGUACAGGCUGCCGGGAAUACUGCAGAGCUAGGGAGUGGGAGAGGUAGACGGUACUCGGUAGGAAGGGGUAAAAUCCUUUGAUCUAUUGAUGACCACCUGUGGCGAAGGCGGUCUACCAGAACACGUCCGACGGUGAGGGAUGAAAGCUGGGGGAGCAAACCGGAUUAGAUACCCGGGUAGUCCCAGCUGUAAACUAUGCAAACUCAGUGAUGCAUUGACUUGUGGUCAAUGCAGUGCUGCAGGGAAGCCGUUAAGUUUGCCGCCUGGGAAGUACGUACGCAAGUAUGAAACUUAAAGGAAUUGGCGGGGGAGCAC
rnacentral:rRNA from 1 species